UACGGAGGGUGCAAGCGUUGUUCGGAAUUAUUGGGCGUAAAGCGCACGUAGGCGGGUCUGACAGUCGAUUGUGAAAGCCCUGGGCUUAACCCGGGAACUGCAGUCGAUACUACAGAUCUUGAAUGCUUGAGAGGGUGGUGGAAUUCCAGGUGUAGAAGUGAAAUUCGUAGAUAUCUGGAGGAACAUCGGAGGCGAAGGCGGCCACCUGGCAAGACAUUGACGCUGAGGUGCGAAAGCGUGGGGAGCAAACAGG
rnacentral:rRNA from 1 species